rnacentral:rRNA from 1 species
UGGAUGGCGGGUGCUAUACAUGCAGUCGAGCGGACAGAUGGGAGCUUGCUCCCUGAUGUUAGCGGCGGACGGGUGAGUAACACGUGGGUAACCUGCCUGUAAGACUGGGAUAACUCCGGGAAACCGGGGCUAAUACCGGAUGCUUGUUUGAACCGCAUGGUUCAAACAUAAAAGGUGGCUUCGGCUACCACUUACAGAUGGACCCGCGGCGCAUUAGCUAGUUGGUGAGGUAAUGGCUCACCAAGGCGACGAUGCGUAGCCGACCUGAGAGGGUGAUCGGCCACACUGGGACUGAGACACGGCCCAGACUCCUACGGGAGGCAGCAGUAGGGAAUCUUCCGCAAUGGACGAAAGUCUGACGGAGCAACGCCGCGUGAGUGAUGAAGGUUUUCGGAUCGUAAAGCUCUGUUGUUAGGGAAGAACAAGUACCGUUCGAAUAGGGCGGUACCUUGACGGUACCUAACCAGAAAGCCACGGCUAACUACGUGCCAGCAGCCGCGGUAAUACGUAGGUGGCAAGCGUUGUCCGGAAUUAUUGGGCGUAAAGGGCUCGCAGGCGGUUUCUUAAGUCUGAUGUGAAAGCCCCCGGCUCAACCGGGGAGGGUCAUUGGAAACUGGGGAACUUGAGUGCAGAAGAGGAGAGUGGAAUUCCACGUGUAGCGGUGAAAUGCGUAGAGAUGUGGAGGAACACCAGUGGCGAAGGCGACUCUCUGGUCUGUAACUGACGCUGAGGAGCGAAAGCGUGGGGAGCGAACAGGAUUAGAUACCCUGGUAGUCCACGCCGUAAACGAUGAGUGCUAAGUGUUAGGGGGUUUCCGCCCCUUAGUGCUGCAGCUAACGCAUUAAGCACUCCGCCUGGGGAGUACGGUCGCAAGACUGAAACUCAAAGGAAUUGACGGGGGCCCGCACAAGCGGUGGAGCAUGUGGUUUAAUUUGAAGCAACGCGAAGAACCUUACCAGGUCUUGACAUCCUCUGACAAUCCUAGAGAUAGGACGUCCCCUUCGGGGGCAGAGUGACAGGUGGUGCAUGGUUGUCGUCAGCUCGUGUCGUGAGAUGUUGGGUUAAGUCCCGCAACGAGCGCAACCCUUGAUUUUAGUUGCCAGCAUUCAGUUGGGCACUCUAAGGUGACUGCCGGUGACAAACCGGAGGAAGGUGGGGAUGACGUCAAAUCAUCAUGCCCCUUAUGACCUGGGCUACACACGUGCUACAAUGGACAGAACAAAGGGCAGCGAAACCGCGAGGUUAAGCCAAUCCCACAAAUCUGUUCUCAGUUCGGAUCGCAGUCUGCAACUCGACUGCGUGAAGCUGGAAUCGCUAGUAAUCGCGGAUCAGCAUGCCGCGGUGAAUACGUUCCCGGGCCUUGUACACACCGCCCGUCACACCACGAGAGUUUGUAACACCCGAAGUCGGUGAGGUAACCUUU